CUAAUGGCUAGUUCCUUCUCAGUCUUCUUAGCUACCUUCUUAGCAAAUGCCAUCUUGUUAAAAGAGUAUGGUACUGGUAUAAAGCCAGACCUUGCUGCUGCCGGGUUCUCUUCAAUGUGUCACUCCUGUAGAUUUCUUCGCACAGAUCUAUGGAUAUGGUUUAAGAAUUUCGUCCCAUACCUGUGCUUGUACCCAAUGUCACAGAUAUAGUUAACCUCCUGCUUUAGGUCCCUCUGUUCAGUGGUAUAAAUCUCUGUCCUUUUGAAAAAAGAUCUAAAUGUAGCUUUUGUAAAUGUUAGACGAUCAUCCAACCAACUAGGUAUUAGAAUAGGCUCAUACGAAGGUUUUCUAUACAUCACAGUUAUUAUUUCAUCAUUUUUAUGUCUUAUGCAGAUAUCAAGGAAAUACACUUC
rnacentral:lncRNA from 1 species